rnacentral:rRNA from 1 species
UCUGCCUUCGGGUGAAACUUGCACAGGUGCUGCAUGGCUGUCGUCAGCUCGUGUCGUGAGAUGUCACGUUAAGUCGUUGAACGAGCGAAACCCUUGUCCUUAGUUGCCAGCGCGUUAUGGCGGGGACUCUAAGGAGACUGCCGGUGUCAAACCGGAGGAAGGUGAGGACGACGUCAAGUCAUCAUGGCCUUUAUGCCCAGGGCUGCACACGUGCUACAAUGGCGCGUACAAAGGGAAGCGAACUCGCGAGAGGGAGCAAACCUCAAAAAGCGCGCCUCAGUUCGGAUUGCAGGCUGCAACUCGCCUGCAUGAAGCCGGAAUCGCUAGUAAUCGCAGGUCAGCUAUACUGCGGUGAAUAUGUUCCUGAGCCAUGUACACACCGCCCGUCAAGCCACGAAAGCGGGGGGCGUCCGAAGUCGCCGAGCUAACCCUCACGGGAGGCAGGCGCCGAAGAUGAACUCCGUGAUUGGGACUAAGUCGUAACAAGGUAACC